CAACAAGUCGACGCAAGCACCUAACUUCAGCGUGUCUAUUGGACAUGUCGCCUUCCCGCCCCCUGAUGGUGGCUUUACGCUCCCUGGCGGUGGAGGACAGUCCUUCCCUCCUGUGGCUGGUGGGGUUGUUCCCGGUGGAAGAAUAGGACCUACAAUUGGCAAAGGCGGCAAUGGCAGAUUGGGACCUACCACUGGAGGUAUGGGUAGCCCUGAAAUCGGAGGAAGGGGUAGCUUAGGGACGGUCACUGGAGGAACGGGUAGCUUAGGUACAGUUACCGGGGGAACGGGUAGCUUAGGGACUGUCACUGGAGGAACGGGUAGCUUGGGGACGGUCACUGGAGGAACGGGUAGCUUGGGGACGGUCACAGGAGGAACGGGUAGCUUAGGUACAGUCACUGGUGGAACGGGUAGCUUAGGGAUGGUCACAGGAGGAACGGGUAGCUUAGGGACGGUCACCGGAGGGACUGGUAGCUUAGGGACGGUCACCGGAGGAACUGGUAGCUUAGGGACGGUCACCGGAGGAACUGGUAGCUUAGGGGCUUUAGGGGAGUGCUUUCCGCCCUUCCGUGGGUUGCAAGAGCCGCAUGCGAGAGAAUGUUGGGGGAGAUAGAUAAUGCAAAUGAGGAAGAGGCAAAGAGAGAGAGAUGAGAGUUUGGAGGAGUCCAUGUUGAGUAGAGUGGAUGGUGUAACUAUACGAAAGAGUAUAUGAAUAUAUAGAGGGAAAAUGAGAAGAAGAAUUCACGUGAAGAUGGGGGCUACUUCUGCAAUAAGAAGAGACGCCCCAAAAUAAGCAUGGUUGGCAAUUAUCAUAAGAAUACAAGAUUUCCUUGAUGACCCAUCGCUAUAUAUCAUCACAUGUCGACCACACUUUUUUCACUUUUUUUUUUCUAAGUGCCUCUUGUUCUUGGGUUAACUACAACUUUUAACAACGUGUAACUUCAGUUUCAACAGUACAGUACAUUUAACUUGUAGGAAUUGUAAUGAAUCAACUUAGCGAGACUAGGUCAUUAUGAGAUAUCAUCAAUACUAAAUAACAUUUUGAUGAUGUAAACACUCUAGGAAAAGCAGAUAAUAUAGUAUCAUAUGGUUUUCGCUUUAGUGUGUGGCUUCAUAAGCAUCUCCAUGCAUGAGUCGACUGCUAAGGAACAUAUAGAUCUGCACCAUAGUGAAGACGGCUUAGUCUAUUCAAAACACUAAUGUUGUGCCUUUCGAGGACCUCCCGAGACUCGAAUUCGAAUGCACUCUCCAAAGGUAUUAUGUUAGGGAAAAAACCUUAUUAAACCAAAUAUGUUACUGUUUAACCCAUACACGAAAAUUAGAUAUAUAAAUGUUGAACAAAUAGCAUAUAGUUAUAUCCAAUAUAUACGUACAUGAGAGGUAAAGAAGACAGCAAGACUGACAUGUGAAAUUCGGGAUACACUUUUGUUGUUUGGUGAUUUUGUUACGUAGUGUCAUUAAAGAAACGAUCAUGUGUGCGUGGACCAUCUUCUUCUUUUUACCGCUCAUUUCCCUUUUUACCAUAUCUACUACAAAAGAGUCCGAACUGACCAUUUAAUGAACGAGUACCAUUCAAUUCAUAAACUCCCCGUAUCAAUCUAACUGACACUGUAAAAGUUAUAAUGUUAAUAUAUAAAAAUAAUAUGGUUAUUUAGCAUGAAUAAUAACUUUUUAUAAUUGAGAGUAUGUCUAGCUAACAUUGGUGAUUGGUGCUUACAUAAAUCAUAUUUUUCAAACCACUUAACAAGAACUUUACAUAUUCAAUGAUAAACGAAUCACAUUUAUACAAUAUACCAUUCAAAAAUAAUAUUGUAAGAUGAUUUGAAAUUAAACGAUUGUAAUAUAUAAUGUGUUAAAAGUAAUGUAUUAUAGAUAUCUUGUAAUUAUUUAAAGGGUUUUGUGCAAAAAAAAAAACCACUAACUCAUACAUUUUUCCAAUUUACUAUCCAGCUCUAAUAAAUGCACAUUAAUCCUAUGAAUCUAAAAUAAUACGCAUUGUAACCCUUUUUGACCAUUUUUUGCUACCAUCAAUUUUGUAAAAUAUUGAUAUAUAAUAUGUUAAAUCAAAGCUCUCGCGACCAAGAGUUCAACUCUACCUUUAAAAAUUUUAAAAUGUAAUGUAUGUAACCGUAAAAACGCUUGUAAUAUGCAUAUGAAAUUUAUAUUACAUAUUAUGUUAAACUUCAUAAGAUUAAUCUGCAUUUGUUGGUAGUGCAUUUGUUAGAGGUGGAAGGUAAUGUUGCAAAAAUAGAUGAGUUAAAAGAUUUCUUUUUGCACAAAACCCUUUAUUUAAACUACUAACAAUAUAAUAUAUAAAUAAUUUAAAACAUAUAUCUCUAUAAUUCAUGAAGUAAUAAUGGUGUACCCUAUCCUUACCAACGAAUAAUAAAGAAAUGAUAUUAACUCUGAUUCAAAAGCUAUAUAUAAGAUAUUCUUUUUUUUUCCUCGGGAGGGAUACGAAUCCGGUAACAUGAAUCAGUGUCCAAUAAGAGCCAGUGGUCGUAAAUUCCAAAUGACAGAUGGAUGACUCAUUUUAAUUCGUAACUUUUGUCAGCUGCGAUAUAUGCUAAUGAAACCUGAGGUGCUAGAUUUUGAUUUUAAUGGCUUUAGAUUCUUACUCAACACUCAAUGGCCCACUCGUUAAUCUCUUACCUUCUAAAGUGAGUUAUGAUCCACUGCUUCUUUCUUCUUGUAGAUAGAUGGACCUGUUUUUUUUAGGUUGUGAUUUGUGGACAUUAAUCAACAACCCAUGUUUAUACGUGAUAAUGUCUGGAGCUAUAUGUAAAGGCGAUAUGGAGGACAACAUUCCUCUAUUCUAACUUUAAAAGCCAUGUAGUUAGGGCUGGACACCAAUAUUCUUUUUUUUUUUGCUAAAUUGUAAAUAUCAUUUUGAUGAAAAAUCAGGUUUUACAACAGUUGUAUAACCUAAAACAUUUGAACUCUUUGGCAAAAAAGAAUAAAAAAACGAAGAGCCAAUCGAGAGCUGCAUAGAACUCGGUAGUUUCAUAGCAGCCACAACGCUAUUAACUUGCGAAAAAGGAGUCUGUUUCUUCUUGAGGUGAUAACGUUUUUGAUUUUGCGGUUGAUGCACUUGAAUAUAGAAUGCGGAGAGAGGGAAGUAGCGUUGUGCAGGACAUUGUUAGGCUGCUUCAAGAUGUGGAAGACCUUAGACUGAACGACAAUAAUUUUAAGAACUGAUGAAGCCAAUAUUCAUCAUUUUCAAACAAAAAAUAUCUUUUGUUUGACACCAAUAUCCUUGACCAGCUUCAAACAAAGGAUAUACAUCAUUUUUAAGUCGGGUAAGGCAAAUGAGUAUAAGGAUUCUCAUUACACAUCUGGUUGCCAAAAACUUUUAGUCAAAUACUAGUUACAAUCUCAGUUUUUUACCCCAAACUUUUUGCCACUUAAAAAACUAGGGGUGGGCAUUCGGGUAAGCGGGUCGGGUUCGGGUUCGGGUAAAACCCGAUCAGGUAUAAAGAAGUUUAGGAUCUAAUAGGGUAAAUCUAAAAUAUCGGUUCGGUUUCGAUUCGGGUCCAACCGGGUUCGGAUAUAGAUUUGUGGCCUUUUUUUAUCCAGAUUUUUCGGGUAAAAUUUUGGAUUUCGGAUAAAAUUUAGAUUUUUGAAUAAAAUAUUUGGGUAUUUUCGGGUUCGAGUUUGUUUUUUCGGGUAGAGAAAUUUAGGAUCCAGUAAAGUACAUCUUCGGAUUUGGAUUAAGUUUCAGCUCUAAUUUUUCGAGUUAGUUUCGGUUCGGAUAAUCGGUUCUGGUUUUUUGGCCCGGCUCUAUAGAAAACCAUCAAUAAAUAUUUUAAUCCUAUUUCUGCCUCAUUACUCGAGAAAAUAUUCGACCCGUUUUAUUACUUGAUAAAUUUACAACUAUAUAUUUAUGUAAUCUAUUUCAUAUUAGUAAAAUAUAUUAAAUUUGUUAUUAAAACCAAAUAUCUUUUGAGAUUAGGGCAAUCAAAAGUUAAGGUCAAGCAAAUGUCUCCUUUCUAAAUGUUUUUGUGGGUAACGGUAAAGGACAAAUAUACAGCCCAUGCCCAGACCUACAAGUAGCGACUCCAUUACUACACAGUAAGAUUUUUAUUAAUAAAAAUGUGCAUGGUUUCAUUUAAAAGUCAUUGCUAACACUUCACUUUACAGUAAUAUUCAAUUUCAUACCUUUAAACGUUAAUCAGAAUCGCCAAUUGGAAGCCAGUCACUGGAAUCACCUUCCGAAUCCUUGCUAUGUCCAACUUGGCUCUUGCUGAGCUGAACCCAGCUUGACCCGCUUGCGUUUGAUGCUGGUCUUUUCAGUGUACUCCUGUUGGGACUUGGCUUCUCCGAGAGAUCAUCGACAUCUAAAUCACUAAAGGAGAUUACCUCUUCAUCUCUGAAACUCCUCCGUUGUUCUUCAGAUGACUCAUCACUUAUCUCCCUUUGCUCAAUUUUUAGAGUCUCUAUCUUGUCAAUGACUCCCUCAACGGUUUCUGUUUCCCUACUGCUACCUUCUUCAGGAGUUUCGUGACCAGUAGUGCUCUUGCUUGACCCUGUCUCUUUCUUUUGCAGCUUUAGUAAAAGUUGAUCCCUUGUUUCAAAUACCUGUGCCGCACAAUAUAGUUAUUAAAGUUUCAGAAAUAGGUACAAUAGUAACUUGGGAAAAAAUGCAGAGCAUAAAAGAUAUAAAACAAUCCAAUUUUAAAAGCAUCAGGCAAAAAUACAUUUUUUCCUGAGGCUAUACUUGUUCUUAUUGCAAUCGGUUGAAGGGGUCAUUAUAGCAUAAACGUUUACGAUUUUAAUAAUAUUGGAUCAAUACUGACAUUUCAGAAGAAUGUAUUUCCAGUAUACAGUCUUACCUUGCAUGUUGCUAAGAGUUCAAAAUCAUGCCCAUUCAGUCUCGGCAUCAGCAAAAUAAAAUAAAUCAGCCAGAAGUGUUCAUCAUCCAUGUAACUACUAACUUGAUUCUUCACAGCUACAAGGCCAGGAACCAAAUCUUCAAUGGCUGAUGCAUGUGCCCUUUGAGCCUCAGACAGUUCAAAUUCUGCAAUGUGGACAUGAAAAGUUGGAGAAAAACUUCAGCAUAAUUCAGUAGGUAAAAUUGAUGUAAACCACCAAUGCUUUUUAUCAGGAAGUGUUUCGACAACAUUUUCAAGCAAACCAAGCCUAUAUACAAAAGGUUGUACAGGAUGACGAUAUGCUUCGCAAUAAAAUAAAUAAAAAGAUUUAAGUGGCAUAUGGAUUGAACUAUAUAUAUAUAUAUAUAUAUAUAUAUAUAUCCCAAGAAGAGACUGCAGACCCCGUCAAGUUUAUUCGUAAUUCCUGGAGAUCUAUCUAAAGAACAGGGACUUCAAAAAAAAAAAUUAACUGCAGAAACAAUCAAUCUUGUCCAAACAGGUCUAGAAUAAAACACAUCAAGAGUUAAAGACUGAAGCAUAAUCAUCUUUGGCGACUGAAAACAAGUCAACUAUAUUUCCAAGAACAAUCAUGUUUAUUCCUGCAUGGCUGCAAGUUCGUCGACAAUAUCUUCAAGGUAUGAAAAAUGUGAUCUACAGAGAGUAAUGGGACCCCGAGAUCCUAAAGACCUGAGCUUGAAGAAAUAUAUCCCAAGAGGAGAUGGCAGGACCGGUCUAACCUAAUCUAAAAUACUAGGAAAUCUCUCUAAAGAACACCAGAGGCUACAAGCAAUCAACUGUACAAACAAAAAAAAUAUUUUCCUAAUAAAUCACAGUAAGAAAAUCAUAACUAAACAUAGAUAGUUAGAAACCACCAAUGCGGUGCUUCGACUAUACUUUCAAACUAACAAAGCCUAUAUACUGGGAACAAAAAUAUGCUUGAAGAAAUAUGUCCAAAUAAGCUUAAUCUGUAACCCUAGUGAUCCCACUAGAAAGCCAAUCAACUGUAGAAGCAAUCAAUCUUUUCCAAAUAAAACCUAUUUUAGUAACAAUUAUGUUUGCCUACUGGGAAAAAAAAAAGUCAAUGCAGAGCUUAAGACUAUUGAGAAUCAAGCUUUAUGAUUCCUCUAUUGACUAUACAGGAGCAUUACCAGUAUCGAGUGACAAUGGAAAAUCUGUCCAACAACCAGGUUUCGUCGAGAUUUUAACAGCGAAAUCGACUACUUCUUCAGAGAUUCCAGGAACUUGAUCGUUCAACGGAGAUCUUCUACUACUUUCUCUAUCUCUUAGAUUACUAGGAAAUUGGAGUAAAUUAGAUGCGAAAUUGGAGAAAUUUCCACGAAUCUCGGCUAGAUCGUUGCGGAUCCCGAGAAGACCUAGCUGAGUUGGUGAAUUAUCAGAGGAGAGUCGGCGUUCGUUUACAGGUGGAGAAGGAGGCGGUGCCAGGAAAGCUGCGACGCCACGGAGUAAGGAAGAUAAAUCUUCUUUGACACCGCCAUGAGUUGUGGAAGGAUCGGGAUCGGGAUCGUGAUCGUCAUCGCCGCGAGAUUUGAAGAGCCAAGACAUGGUUUUUGAGUGAGAGAGGUUGGAUUUGGGGUUUUCAGUUUUUUUUGCACGGGGUUACGAAUAGCAAGAGAGAAGAAACGGUACGUUUUAAUACCUUUCCAAAACGCACCGUUUGUUGUUUGUUCGUUUUGAUACCUUCCCAAACGUGAAAUAAACGAACAAUAAUUAUACAAAAUAAACGGAAACAAAACCUACUUUUUAAAACGGGAAAAUAUCGUUUUAUACGUGAUGUUUUUAAGAAUGGUCAUUUUAUAUGUAAACUUUUAGAUCGAUCAAAUAAAAUAUGAUAAAAAUGUUGAUCCGCUAUUUAAACAAAACAUAAAGUUUGCCUGGCCAAAAUUUCCGAAAUGUUAACUUGUAUUAACGGAUCUGAUAACCCUCGUUAGCAGACGUUAGUCGUCUUCCGUUAAUACCAAACGAUUUUUUGUGAUGAGUACAAACCUUAAAAUUCCCAAAUCGAUUUUUCAUUCCCUAAUUCUUCAUAAUCCCCAAAAUUUGAACUAUUCUCGAUAUAUUUUUUUUGAGCUCAAAAUCUCCAUUUUGUGUAGAUAUGAGUUUAAAAAAUUUGAGUGUUCAAGAAGGAGGAAGUGGGAACCUUGGGUUUCCUUCAAAGUGUCAUUGGGGGAGAGAUUUCAUCAUCUAUAUAUCAAGCUCGACGAAGAACCCAAGAAGAUCCUUCUUCUGUUGUCCAACAUAUCAAGAUGUAAGUAGAUUUGAAUUUGUUUUUUUUGGUGUUUGAUCGGUAAAAAGUUGUCGUUGUAAAUGCAGGACCAUUUGUUUAAGUGAGUCGAAGAUUGUGUGUAUGAAGAGGUUGUAGAUGCAAUACUGAUAAUCUCUAUGAUUGAUAGCUAGAUAAACAAUGUCAAAUUUCAGGUUGUAGUCGAGAUUGCAGAAUUAAAGGUUUUGAUCCAAGAAUUGAAGGAAGAUGAAAUGUGGAGCAAAAUGGAAUUGAAGAUAUGGAAAUCGAUGACCAAAUUGUGCUUGGUGUGCCUUUGUAUAACAGUCAUUGCAAUUAUGAUCAUAAUGUUCUAUAAGACCAAAAACCAUAAGCUUGUUCUUGGUUACUAGUGUUUUGUGUUUGUAAUAAAAUGUUUUUAUGGUACUGAAAUGUUUGUUUGGCAAUGAUAAUCAGUCCUAGUGUUUUGUCUUAGUGUUGUGAUUGUAAUGAAAUGCUACUAGAUGCUUGUUUAACAAUGAGAAUCACCAAAAUGAAACUCAUUCAUACAUUAUAAAACUUGUGUCACAAAGACAAGUCGAAACCACAAAAUGAAAUCGAUACUAAGCUUAUGUCAUAAAGACAAAUCCAUUAUGUCAACCACCAAAAAUAAACUUAUGAGAAAGCUUAAGUUCAAACAACAACAAAAAGAAACUUGUGACUAAUCUUGUCUUGAACACUCAAACCAUGAUGCAAAUCCACCAAGUCCUUGUGGUUGAGCAUGUGGCUCAGUUUGUGCUUGUGCUUGUGGUUCUGUUUGGGAUUGUACUUGUGAUGCUCCACCUGUCUCCCUUGGUCUUUCUGAUGUUCCGCCUGUUGCCCUUGGUCCUUGUGAUCGAAUAUGAGAUUGUGAUCCUUGAUGAGGUUGUGAUCCGUGUAUUUGCUCUUGCGAUUCGAGCACUUGAGAUCGUGAUCCUUAAUGAGAUUGUGAACUUUGAUGAGGUUGUGAUCUUAGCACUUGUGAUUCCUCCUAAGUUAAAUAUGACAGUCUGAACAGUUGCAUGAUUAAGUGAGUUGUAAAACAUAUAAAAAAAAACAAGAAUACAAACCUGAUUUAUUCGUGGAUGACCUCUUGGUCUCUUUGGUGGAAUCAGAAUAGUGGCAUUUUUGCAGCUUUGCUUGUUUGCCCUUGUUGAAGGCAGUUAGAGCAUGUCAUGAUUCUCUUUUGCAGUGGCAUCUUGUUCUUAUUUGAAGAAGAAGAAGUCUCAUUUCUUCCUUUUCUCCUAACAUAAUUACUCGGUCUUCCAACAUUUCCUUUUGUCCAUGGUGGUGGCAAAACAGGGAGCCUAUUGGUUUUAGGCCACAAUGGCAUACCUUGGACAAGGCUAAUACCAUCUUUAUAAGUUUUUCGCCAGAUUACCUUUGUGUAAAACUUGCUCACAUAGUCUGCAACUGUUUCUCUUCUUCCUAUUAUCACAGGUGUCGCAUAAAUACAUGGGAUCCCCACCAUCUACCACUUCCUGCGACCACAAGUUCUCUUCUCCGUAUCAACAUAGUAGCUAACACCAUUCACAUCAAUUUGAUACAAAUUGUUUCUGGACAUAUAUCUCUCGCAAUUUCUAACCCCAACUAUCAUUUUCUCAAUCUCAAGAUGGGCUCUCUUUGUGAACCUUGUCUUCAAUUUGUCAGCAAUGAUAUACGUCUUCGUAGUUAUGACCAUGCAUUACCUCUGGAUGUACUCUAGCUAAUCCAACAAAGGCUUUCUCCUAGCCUGUUUAAUAGUCUUAUUAAAAGACUCACACUGAUUAUUGAGGCUGUCAUUGCAACGUGUCCAAUUCUAAAGAAGGCUCUCGACCAUGUCAUUGGACUAGUAAGUUGCGAGUGGCAUGCGCAUGAGGAUUGUAUCUCUUUAGCUCUUCCAUAUUAUUCAUGAACACUUCUUCAGUGUAGCUUCAAAUUGUUUUUCAAAGAGACAUUGUAGUUCUAUCUCAUGGUUGUCUCUCUUCCAAUUGUCCAUUAUAUGCCUUGAAUAUUGUCGAUGCUCAACUUCUGGAAGUAUGGUAUUGAUAGCUUUGACUAGACCCUGUAAAAUAACACAAAAACAUAAGCGUAAACCCUUCAUAAAAGACAUUAAACUGAAGCAAAAGAUGAUAAAAUUAACUGAUUAUUUAUCUGAAAUGAUAACUAGAUGUUGCAUUUCACAGUCCCAAACUAGUAGAGAGCUGUCUCAAAAACCAGUCCCAAUUAUCAUUGUUUUCUAUCUCAACAACUGCCCAAGCUAUAGGAACAAUCCUCUUAUCUCCAUCUCUUCCAACUACAGCUAAAAGGUGACCUUUUACAUCCCAUUUUAGAAAACCCAUCUAUUCCUAUCACAGGUCUACAAGUUCGCUUCCAAGAAUCCUUUUGAGAUUUAAAGCAGAUAUAGCACCAGAGAAAAGAAUCCUUUUGUGAUAUAAAGCAGCUAUAGCAUCAGAGAAACCUUUGCUUGCUUCCAAUAAAAAGCCCUACUGUUGUCUCUAUCUCAAACUCUGUCUCUGGGUUCUACUUUAAAACCUCCGCUUGAUAAUCUCAUAUUCUUGAAAAGUGAUCAUUAUGAGUAGCAUGUCAUGCUUUCAACACUUUGGUCUUGGCCUUUGCACAUUGGUCUGGAGUCACAUCCAAAUUGAAUUCUCUCUGAAUCUCAACAACCAUCUCGUUCUUUGAAAUAUUUGGAUUCACUCUCAGCCUUUCAUCAAACAAAAGUGCAAUGGAAGACCGCUUCAACAUCUUUGAAUAUCCUGACCUAACACAAGUAUGCAUAUAAAAUCUUACUUGCAUCUUAUGUUUUGUCUUCUCAUACGAACAAUAUACUUUCCAACCACAUUUAACACCAUCAACACCAAUUUAUGACCACUUCGCAGCAACAACCAUAGAUUCAGACCCAUAAAGAGAAAUGGUAUACCAUGUCUUUAAAGAGUACAUCAAAAGAACACGCUUGAAGUCGUGUUUAUAUCCUCUUCACCGCGUAAACCACCAUUAUAAUCGUUAUCUCCACCACCAACCACAUCAUCAACGACAUUGCAGUCUUCAUCACCAUACACGGCGCAGUCUUCUUCAUUUUUCAGGGUCAGGCUCAAAUGUAGGUUCUUCAUCCUCCUCUUUUUAAUGUCUGACUCUUCUUCGUUUUUGUUUUCAAAGCCGCUUUGAAACUCGAGCUUUAACUACGAUAGAAGACUCUACUACGCCUACAGCCGGCAGAGCUAGAACUCCGUUAUCAAACUCUAAAACUGCUUCCGCUGGUGGAGCUCGAACAACAUCUUUGGUGUCAUCUUCGCCUCGUGGUGGAGCUUCAUCAUUGUCUAAUUUGCCUUCCAUUGAUACAAUCUAGGACUCCAAGGAUACAAAUUCAAGAUGAAAUCAAAUCAAAAUCGCGAUUUCGCCAAAGUAAGAAUUAGGGAUUUGGUUUUUGGAAAUUAGGGAUUUUGAAAUCAAAAUGGGAAUUUCUGUUUCAGUUUAUGAAACGACAUUGUUUUAGGCAUUAACAGAAAAAAUUAACGUCUGCUUACAGGGGUUAUCGGAUCUGUUAAUGCAAGUUAACGUCUCGGGGAUUUUGGUCAGGUCAACUUUAUGUUUUGUGUUAAAUGGCGGGUCAACGUCUUUAUCAUGUUUUAUUUGGCCGACCUAAAAGUUCACGUAUAAAAUGGCCACUUUUGAAAGUUCACGUAUAAAACGACAUUUUUCCCUUUUCAAAAACCUAAUUUAUUUCGCAUAAUUAUUGUUCGUUUUGAAAAGUAGGUUUUGAUUUAAUAUUAAAUUUAUUCGGGGAAAAAGAAUUAUACAUUUACAAGUAGGAAAAAUGGGUAAAAAAAACCUCACCUUUCCCAAAUACAUUUAAAAAAACCUCAACUUUUUGUAGGUUUUUAAACCCUCACCUUUUCAAAAAUGGUAAAAUAACAAUUAGCAUUAUUAAACCAAAUAAAUACAAAUUAAAUACUAAAUAAACUAUUAUAUUAAGACAUAAAAAACAACAUAAUUUAUAAUCUAUCUUUUCCAAAUUUGAGUUUAGGAUUUUUUUUCUUCUAGAAUUUAGUUGUUUUUUGUGAUAUAAAAAAUAAGUUUCAUUGCCAUUAGAAAUUGGUAUGUAAACUAAAACAAUUUAUAACAUAGCACAUUUUAUUUUAUUUGUGUUCAACUAUGUUCUAACCUUUGAAGUUUUGGAUUUAAAAUGGAUAAAAUUUAUUAACACAAAUUUGAUCUAAACUUGAGUGACCUAAUAUUUGUUCUAAACUUGUGUGAUCAAAACUUUAUUCUAAACUUAAGUGUCCAAACCAAAUAAAAUUUUAUUAAAUAUAUUUUAUAUUUAGUUAUUACAAAAUUAGUUUAGUUUUACGUUGAUGAAUUUCUUGAACUCAACCAAAUUAAUCUUGUUUCAGUUCACUGCAUAUGUAGAAGAAUAUAUAUCUAUAUAUAUAUACAUAUAUCAUACCUAAAAUAAAAUAAUUAUUUUUAUCCAAAAUUUAAUUAAACUUACACUCGAAACAAAAUAAAUAAACUUUGAAUAGACUUUGGAUAUGUUAUCUUCAGUAUGAAACCAAUUGUCUGAACCAAAUUUAAAUUGUUUUCACAUAAAACAUUUUACUAGAAGAAAAUAUUUAAGAGCUAUGUCUUUGGUUAGAUUAGAAUCGACAUAUUUCGUUUUCAAGAUUGUUUAGUGGUAGUUUGUUGUUUUGCGUCAAGUUUUUUUUAAUGUUUUCUUUUCCUAUUUUUGUCGGGUUCAUCUCUUGCUUUUGGACCGGUCAAUCUAUAACUUUUCACCUUUAUAAUAAUAGGUAAAGCGGUUGUGUGACUCUUUCAUUUUCCUCUACUCAAGUUUAAGACUAAAUCUGGUCAAAUUUUUAUUAGACUAGUUAUGAUGGUUUGUUAUAAACCAUUUCACAACUGUUGAAAAAAUUAUUUCCACUACAAUGGUUUAUUGUAAUCGAAAAGUAAGUGAGAUGGCAAAUUUAUCAACACUCAUGAGAGUAGAAGAAAGAAGAUAAGUGUGACAAGUGUUAUAUUUUGAUUGGUUGCUUUUUUUUUUUGGACAAAAGCUUGUUUUUAUUCAAUUAAGAGAGAAACAAGUACAAAGGAACAAGGAUUCUAAGAUCCCAAAGUUUAAAGGACAACAAAGGUAGGCAUUCCCAACACCAUAAGAAGAAAAGCUAACACACAAAUAAGGUACAUCAACAAUGGUUCCAUGAGAGCUAUAAUCCAAACACUUGAAGGGAAUUUGUUACUUUUAAGAUCAAGGAUUGUUGACAAAUCUUCCACGAACAAAGUAGUGGAUGAGAGUAUGGUUACUGUCAAAAGACUUAGUAACGUUAACAAGGGCGCCAAAGACAUGAAUCUCGUCGGGACGAGAAGUACUACACCAAGUAGUGCUUUUGCAAAGGUUCGAACAAGGUUUUGGUAAAGGAAGGAGGAUCGUCGAGGCUUAGAAAGAUUGAUGCGAGACCGUAACAGAACAGGUGGGUCCUCUCUCCCAAGAAGACCAAGGAGAUUAAGGAAUUCCACACAAAGCUUGUAGUCGGUUUGCCACAUGAAGAAAAGGCCAGACAUGAGGAAAUUGAGUAGAUAUCACUUUGAGGCACUAGUCAAUAGGGAGGGAUCUCUCACAAGAGAAUUGAGAAGUUCAUGUUGAAGCUUGAUCCAAACCCGGGGAGUAAUGGUGAAUGGGAGGUUCUUGAAGUUGGUCGAUAUAGUUGUCAGUAUGAAAUACUUUGAUAGAGAGUUUUGGUGACUAGCGUCACAUCUCCGACAGAUUGGACUAAGAAACACUAGACCAUGAAUCUUCAAAACGGAAUCAUAAAACAUUGCCCUAGCUAAACCUAGCACCAAGGUUCUCAGAUAAUAUUUGUAGGAGCAUAUCAACGAGGGUGAUUCGUCAUUCAAGUGGUGUCCCUAACCCCUCAAAAUAAAGAAACGAUGUCUACAUUGGGAUAGACUCGGCAAAUUGCAGAUGGAGGAAUACCUGGAUUUUUGUGAUAAUAGGUUUGGGUCGCAAUUUAUGGGCUUGGGCCGCGAGGGAAAUGGGCCAACAUUGGAGACAGGGCCCAUCAAAGAAAACCCUCGAUUCCAGAUUGUUGGGCAAGGAGCGUUGGGAGUGCGGCGGCUACGGUAGAGAGGUACGAAUUGCACAAUUGAAGCAGACGUCUCUGAUGUAAAUAGAGUUAGGGUGAACAAGCUGCAUGACGGGUCCGGCGCUGAGGCUAUAACAACGGCUAAUGGUUUGGCAAAAGAACGUCGGAGAAGCCUUAGGGAGCCGAAAGGUCCCGCAGAUCUAGUAACGAUGAGGAGGCGGAGACAAGGCUCAGGUUGGAAGGAUUGGUCGCCUAUGAAAUUGAAAGCUUCACAAACUGUUUUCUUUGAUUCGCAAGGUUUGGACAGAGAGUGUAGCUUGCUCGGAGGCCACAUUUUGCCUAUGUCGGAGAAUACUGCUUCAAAGAAGAUUCAACAGCAAAGAAGAACUCGAUAGAUUUGGAUUAAAAGGUUUGCAACAGAAGAAAACUAAAUUACAACGAAGAAGUAGAUGAAAGAUUGAGGAAAUAGCUCGAGAGAUGAGAGGGAGGUUCCGAUGCCGGCGAGCAUUUGCUCCACCGACGUCGGAAAGAUGAAGGGAGAUAGUUUCCUCGAUAUUAGUGUCUAUUAGCUCCACCGACGUUGAAAAGAUGAAGGGAGAUAGUUUCCUCGAUAUUAGUGUCUGGGAGAGAAACUCUUUAAAAUCUUAGUCUCGCAAAAAAUUUGAUUGGUUGCUUUGAUUUCUAUAUUUUUUUUCUUAAUUACAUAACUUUAAUUAUUUCAUAAUAUUUAUAAAUAAACAUAUCAAAAUUUACAAUUUUUCAUUCUCUAUAAAUAAACACUAUCUUCAUUUGAUUUGGACAAAACAAAAAUAAUCUUUCUUUAGAAAAAAAAAAGUUUAGUCUCCAAUAAACUUUUGUUUUAGCUUUAAAUAUACUUUUAUCUAAAUGGAUCCAAACAAUAACCUUUCAACACCCAAAACUUUUCUAAUUACUUUUAAACUAUCCAAAUCCCAACAAUUAUUAGUUGCAGGUGUGUCAGAAGGACAUUGAACGAGCAUUUGGAGUGUUGCAGGCUCUAUUUAAAAUUAUUCGCGAACCAGCUCGACUGUGGGACAUAGCCGAUUUGACUAUCAUCAUGAGGUCGUGUAUCAUAUUGCAUAAUAUGAUUGUUGAUGAUGAACGACAGACGUAUACUCAACAUUGGACUGAUUAUGAUCAAUCUAAGGCAAGUGGGCCGAGUACAUAACAACCAUUCUCGACCAAAGUGCUACUUGUAUUUGCAAAUCAUCUGCGUGGUAGAUCCAAGUUGCGUGAUUCAAAUGUACACCGCAAAUUGCAAGCAAAUCUAGUCAAACAUAUAUGGGCACAAUUUGGAAUUUUCCAUGGUGAAUGAGAUUUUUAAGUUUGUGAGUUGAGAUUAAUAUACUAAUUAAGUUACAAAUGUUUCCUUACUUGUUGUGUGCGUAUUGUAUUGCAUUUUAAAUCUAUGUUCAUUGUAUGUGUUUUAGUAAUGAUUAUUUUUAUUUCUAGUUUUUAUUAUUUAUAAAGUUUUUUUAAAAAAUAUAUACAAAUAUUAAAACAAAAACUAUUUUAUAAAAUUUAUUUAAUAUUUAAUUAUUUAAAUUUAAUUUAAUAUUAACGGUGAUUAAUAAUAUUUAAUCACAAAAAACAUAAACAUAAAUAAAAUGAAAAAUAUAAAAUAAAAAUUGUGGGAUAAGGUGUUGUAAUUUUAUCAAACAAAACUAUUGUAGAGGGAAAAAAUUAUGUAGGUGUGGAAUAACGAUGUGGAAGAGAGAGAAAACGAUGUGAAGUGUUAAAAGGGAAAAAAAGGGUGUUGUAAAUGGGUAACCAUUGUAGAUAGUCUUAGGAAGUGAAUGGUGACUUUAAGAUUUGCAGAUUUCGAAAGAAAAAGAAAAAAAUGCACUAAUGUCACCAAUCAGACAUAUGUGUGUAAUUUGUUUUUUUUUACAGAUAAUUUGGCACACACAUUUCAAAGCAUGUUAAUACACUAGGGAUAAAAGAAACACACUCUACUAUCGUCCAAGGGAUAUUUGGCAGCGCUUAACUAAAAACUUGCAUUACACAGUAAGUAAUAAAUCAAUUAUUUAAUUAAUAAUAAAAUGUACCUAUAAAUCAGAUCAUGUACUCUAAAACUAUUCACACAUUACAACCAAAAACAACAUCCUCUCAUAUUUCGCUCCAAUCCAAAAGAAAAAAAAAACAAUCUCCCACCCUUUCGUCAUAUAUUACAACAUUUAAAUGUAAAUUACUUUUACUAUACUAGUAUAAUAAUUACUUAUAACAAAAUAUUUCUAUGUAAUUAAGGUCUCUUUAUAAAUAAAUAGGACUGAAAUUAAGUAUAUAAAAUUGUUCAAAAUUUAGUAAAUCAUAAAAUGUUAUAUUUAUGUACAUAUUUAUAUGACUAUGUUUUAUUUUUAUAUUCAUAACAUCAGUAUUAAAUUUUAAUCAAAUCAUAGAAAUUUUUAAAUAUGUAUAAUAAAUGGUUGUGAUAGUAUUUACUAAUCAAGAUGUAUAUAUAUUUAUUAAAAAGAGAAAGGAAAAUUUUGAAGAUAUACAAAAUUACUAUUUUUUUAAAUUAUAGUUUAGUAUAUUUAUAUUAGAUGGUAAUAUGAUAUUAUGAAUUUUUUCAAAACUUAAUUAAAUCAAUUAAUUUAAUCAUAUCAAAAGUUACUUAAAUCAAUUCAUUUCCAUCAUUAUUAAAUUUUAAACAAAUCAUAGAAAAUUAAAAUAUGAAAAGAAAUGGUUGUGAUAGUACAAUAAAGUGAUUCCGAGUUCCCUUUGCCUCCGUCGGAGAAGUAUUAUCUAGUUGAUUAUGACUACCCAAACAAAUAAGGAUUUCUAGUUCCUUAUAGAUCGUCAGGAAAUCGAGUUGUGAGAUAUCAUAUGUCUCAAUUUUAUUUUGGUCCUCCUCCUAGAAACAAACAUGAACUAUUUAAUAUGUCAUGCAUCUUUACGUUCUGUUAUCGAGAGAACUUUUAGAGUUUCGGAAAAGAAAUGGAGGAAUCUUUUUCAUUUUCCUAGAUAUAAUAUUCAUAUUCAAAAAAGAGUGGUAAUGGUUAUAGUGUGAUUACAUAAUUUUAUCAGAAUUUCAAACUUCUCAGAUGUAGAUUUUCUUGAUGUAAUGACAGAGACAAAUAUAAACUACAGAGAUUAUGAUCAUCAUUUAGAUGACAUAGAAGCAACAGAGAUAACAAAUGGAGAACAUAUGAUGCCAAUAAAAGACAAUAUUGCAAAUAUGUUAUGGCAAAAUCAAAAUAAUAUAAAAUAUUUUUUAAUGUUUUUUAUGAUGAAAUUAGUUAAGGCAUGUAACAAUAUGUAUGUUACAAAAUUAAAUUUAUAUUUUGAUCAAUUUUUGUAUUAGUGGUUUAUAAAUAUCUGUUAUUGUUUAUUUAUUAACACAAAAAAUUAAUUAAUUAUUAAUAUAUAUAUAUAUAUAUAUAUAAUUUAUAAUUCGCACCGCAUGUAGUUUUUUCACCAAUCAAACAUUAUUUUGUACCGCUUAUUUUGAAUAAACCGUACUUAUCCCGCAAAUAUAUUUCUCCUACACGAACCGCAGUUUAACCGUACUACACUUCAAUAACGCUUUCCCCGCACUAUAAAAACCACGGUUACCAUUCGGACCCUUAGAGCUUGUUUAAAAAAUUGCUAGGCGUUAACCGGGCAUUCGGGGACUUAUCGAUAUUAGUUUUUAACAUUUUAAUAUUGAUAUAUACAUAUAAAUUAAAUAUCGGAAUAUAUGACAAUGGAAUUAAUUUGGUUGAGUGUCAUCUUUUUUUAUUUGGAAAUUGCACAAUCUAUACUCUGAGGAGUCGUUAUUUAGGUUCCCAAAAAAGCAACUGUUUGGCUGGUACUGUGGAUGUGGAAAUUGCGCAUGUAUGAAAAUAUAUUGUGUGAGACGGCUUCAUUAAAAUCUUAUUAGAUUAUUAUUGUUCUUCGCAUGUGGUUUUUGUUUUCUAUAUGUUUUUUAUUUAUUGAUUUAUGGGGAAACCAAUCAUCAUCAUCAUUUCCCUUCCAAUACGGAGAGCUUGGCAAUGCGAAAGAUUUGGAUGGCAAAUGUUUGGUAUAAAUUUUUCGACCCGUUAAUAUUAUAAUCUUGAUAUUAUUUUUGUUAACGUCAUUAAUCUUUUGCAGACGUAUGUGGAGCCUAUCAUUUUCCCUGACGUGGAGAUGAACCCGAAAGAAGAUUUAACCUGGUCUGACGAUGAGGAAGAUGUGAUGGGUUGAUAAUAUCGUCAUGUUAGUUGGUAAAGGGAUUACUUUUCAGCUCCCUCCAUUCUGAUUUGCCAACUCCUACAAAUGCUAAGGUUAGUUAACUGAUAUUUAUUUUAUAAUCGUUGUGUUUAGUAGUUUAGCAACUAAGUAUUAUAUGUGAGUAGCUAUAUUUUUUCUUUAUUUUUGUAGCUUUUUUGCCUCUGUUUCAGAGUUUUCAAUUAUCUCCAAGAUGUUGCAGGUAAACAAAUCUGUUGAGGUCCUUGAUCAUCGAGAUGAAGAACCGGUUUAUUUAUUUACACUCCAUUUUUGUUUAACUUUACUGUACAUUUUUGUUAACCCCCUCCAUAUUUUAUUAGCCGGUAAGAUUGUUAUCAUUCAUUUUCUUUUUAAUUAUUUUAUUCUGUCUUGCAGACCAAAAUCAAUCCUUCAAAAUUAACCACUACAGUCGAGGAAGAAAAGGAUUCUAAGGAGGUUAGAUAAUUCUUCCUUGUUUUUAACUUUCAUUUGGUUAAAUCCUUAACCGGUGAUAUAUUGCAUGUUUCAAUUUUAGGAUUUUACCACUCCACCCCUGUCAACCCAGUCUCGCUCUAACGUGAAGGUUAUCUUCUAACUAUGAUGUUAUCGCUUAUUGUUUAUAUUCAUCUUCCACGUUUGUAGGAUGUGGUGUGCCCUGCAAGUGUGUAUGCGGAUUAGCUGUUAAAAAAAAUAUUUCCAAGACGCAAGAAAAUUCGGGCUGCCCCUUCUUCCGCUGUGUAAGCAAAAGAGACGUGAGUUAUUUCCUCUCUAAAAACGAUGUUAUUAGCUUUUCUGGUAGCUACACGUUUUGCUAGUUAACCUAUCAUUCUUUUUGUAGGGACAUUUGUUUAAGUGGGUUGAGGAUGUUGUAUAUGAAGAAGUGGAAGAUGCAUUGGUUAGACUUGUAUCGAUUUAAAAUGAGGUAAAUGAUUAAAAGCGCAGGUCAUCCAGUUUUGUGUUGCUAUAAAAGAGUUGAAGGCAGAUUCAGUGUCCGACCAGUUGGUGAUGCUUAUGUUGAAAGUGGGCUUGCUUUUCAGAUUUGUCUUCUCUCUUUUUGUAGCUUUUGUUAUCGCAACACUUCUUAAAAUAGUCGAUAUUAAGUUCAUUAGUAGUUUUUAAUGUCUAUCUUUGUAAUGUUUCAUAGUUUCUAUAAUUCCCUAUGUUUAAGAUAUUAUAUUUGUUAGUCGUUAACCAUGUAAUAUAUACCUUGUAUCAAUCUUCUGUCUAUAUAAUAUUUUAUAACUUCUCAUUUAUUUCUUUAUUUUUGUACCAUUUGCACAUUCUUUAGGCGAUAUUUAUAACCAUUUUAAAACUUAUCUUUUAUUUUAAUUUUUUGGUAGCAUUUUCACAUUUAUUAAGCGAUAAUCUAAUUCUUAGCCAUCCAGCUGUGGUCCUAUCUUCUUAUUUUAGGACGCUAGUUAUCUUUUUUCUUAGUAUUGCAAAUUUUAAGAAGAGGGUCUAUAUCUUGGUACAUAUUUUGUUACAGAAUAUCAUUCAACAUAAACAUAUAUUUAACAUUCAGAAGGAAGGUUUGUUGGGAUCGUCCCUGAUUGCAGAUAAUACACAUUUUUUGGAUCAGUAAUUGUACGUAUAUACAUUGAAAAUUUUCUGAUCUCCGAAUUCUUGUUAUUUAUAAAACAUGACUUCUCGCGAGUCUUCUAAGCACGGAACCAUCCGUUCAAACCCUCCCAUAGUCCAAAAAAACAGUCCUCUCCUUCCAUCUUCAUCCGCAAAAAAAAAAUUUUCCUCGUCGCUUACUUGCCUCCAUGUACCACAUUAAUUUUUUGAUUAGCAGUCAUUUUUCUUUUUAAUCAGAUAACACCUACUUUAUCGACACUAGUUUCUUCAUACACCAUGGUAAAAGUUUUGUUAUCGGCUGCUUUUUCAAAAAAUGAUAAGGAGCUAUAUAUAUAGAUAGCAAACCAAAGAAAGUUGCCCUAACUACACACCUGAGACUUAAAUGCUCUAUGUUUCUAUCUUCUUUCAAUAUUUAUCGUUUGCAGUGGUUUAUAUGUUAGUUGUUUCAGUUCUUGUUGUUGCAGUAAUGUCGAUAUGGAGAUAAUAAAUAGGCAAACAUCUAUCUUCCAUAUCUGCACAAUCGAUUAUGUAUCAUAUGUAAUCAUUACUUUUUACAUUUUUUUAUUAGUUUGACCAGGGGGCGCAAUAUCUUCGAAGAUUACAGAGCAUUUAAUGCUCGUGAUCUUGCGGAAGGAGACUAGUGAUCCUCUGCUUGUAUAGGAACAAUUAUGUCAUAUUUAAUUUGCAAGAAAAUUUUCACCUAAAUAACGAAAUGAUAUGUAUAGAUCCUUAAUUAUUUUCUCCUGUAGGUAUAUAUAUUUCAUUCACUCUUUUUAGUUUAAUGAAAUAGUAAAUGACAAUAUUAUCCUCAUCUUAUUCUUUAGAUCUUAGCGACUGCAACCCUAAUUUUUGUCGUAUCGUUUUUCACAAUUCUUAUCAUUUUUUCUUACCCUUUAAUGAUUUAUACCCAAAUAUAAUAGAUCUACAACCUAAAGACCGAUUUAAAACUUGUAUUUCUUUUUAAAAAAUGAGUUUUUCUAAGAGUUUUCAAUUUUUUUUGGCGAUUUCAACAAAUCGAGGCGGUGGUGGUCUGAAGAGCGCUUAGUUGGACGAGUAAUCGGUUAGACGACCAAUUUUUAGAACAAGGGUCUUGACAAUCCACAAUGCAAGUGUUGAAUUAUUUAUUCAAUUGUUGAACCUUCACAUUGCACAUGUUGAAUAGUUUAAAAAAUCUUACGUGGAUUCAACUUGGUUGAAAGUAUUCAAUAUGUUAUAAAGAAAAAAUUUGGGCCCGCGCAUGCCACAUGUCAAUAAAUGAGUAAAGGAUGUGUUUCAAACUCGGAGAAAGGAGAGCGUAUUGUCCAAACCUUUUUCUUUUUACUUUUAUUUUUUUUUGCAAAAAGAAGAGAUUAUUGAGAUGCUCACACUUGCUAUAUUUUCAUUAGAUAUUAAGAUUUUGGAGAUUUUAUUUCUAUCUUAUUUAUUUACAAUCAAUUAUUACAUACCAAACAAUUUUUUUUUAAAAACUUAUAUUUAUAUGAAAAUUUAUAAAUUUUUAAACUCUAGAAAUAGAGACUUAGUUCAUUUUAUUUGGACACAUAAAAAAUAUUAUUUCUACCAUAAUUUUCUUAUUCUUCUCCCAUAAACUCUUGGUUAUAUCCUUUUUUUUUAUGGAUUCUAAUAAAAUCCCUAUGCAAAAUUAUACUAAUUUUUCCUUUCCCUAUCCUAAUUCCAACAAUAAUCCUACGCAAAAUUCGACUAAUUACGUUUUUCCUUAUCAAAAUCCCAACAAUUAUCAAUUUCAAAAUCUAUCUUUCAACCAACCUCAAAAUUUCCCAAAUUAUGAUUUUCUACCAAAUUUUUCUAUGCUCUCAUCUGUUCCAAACUAUAAUUCAUAUUAUAGAUCGAUUCCAAAUUCAUCUCAACCACCUCUUUAUGAUUUGAGGUUGUGAUUUUCAUUGACAUCAAAAAGAAAAAAAAAAAAAAUAUCACAGAAAGGAGACAAUGAAUAUGAUUAAUAUUUAAUUGGUAAACUAUUAGAUUAGGCGGGGGUUUUCUCAAAAAUUGUCUCUUUUGUAGGACUGUUGUCACCAAUAUUUUCAGUAUCUUUUACUUUUAUUAAUUUUUAAUAAAAUUUAUGAUAAUAAAAAAAAUGAAAAUAAUCGUAAAUAAAAGAAAAAAAGAGAGUUGUGGGUUCUUUCUUUUUAGUUACCCACGCAUCGCUGUCGAAAGAUUAAUUAUGAAAUCAGAUGUUUGGUUGAGUAUAAUAGUAAUGCAUGUCAUUAGUUUAAAUUUAUAAUAUUAAACAAAAUUAUAAAUAAGAUAUUUGAACAAAACAAAAUUAAGUUAGUUUAAACGUUAAUUGGAAACCAAAUAAGAGAUCUGUUAGGAAAAAAGAAAAUAUAUACCAAAUAAGAGAUACAGGAAAUCAGAAAUUUUAAUAUUAUGUGUUUGAAUCUUCUCACCAAAAAAAAUUAUGUGUUUGAAUCUUCUCACCAAAAAAAAUUAUGUGUUUGAAUCUAAUUGAUUAAUGGACACGGUCUAGUAAAUUAUAAUUUUUUUGACCCGCGAAAUAUAGUGAAACAGAGUUUAUCUCUAUACAACAAGACAAAAAAGAAGUUCUAAGAUCAAACUCUGUUUGAUAUACAAAAAUUAUAUUGUAAAUGAAAAUGGAACUUUGAGAUUGAUCUACAACAAGUCUGCUACACUCAUCACAAACGUAAUGUGAUUAUACACAUCCACGUUGGCCGCAAAAACUAAGGAUCUUGUAUCAUCUGGAUCAACAGACAAAAUCAUAUUGCAAUAGUCAGCAGCAUCACGUGCGAGACUAAGGUCGUCAUCAGUCUCAUCAACAUCACCAUUGCCCAUUGACCGCUGUGCCUUCAUUAGCCCCUCGACAACAGAAUCUUUAUAGUUCUCCAUACAACUCUUGAAACAUGGCUUCUUAGGAGAACCAAUGAGAAACUGUGUGUGCUCUGCCUUCUCCAUGGCUAGAGAAAGAGCCGCCUUAGCCAACUCUAAUACAGUCGAUGCGGAUUUCGUGCGAUGAUCUAACGUUAGGGAUUUGAUACAUUCUUCUUCUAGGGACGAGAAUGACGCGGUGCCUUUACAAGCCUUUGAUAUCAGUAAUGAUGGAUAUGGACAUGUCUUUGGUUUGGUUGAUAAAUGGGUAGCAAUGUUGGAUUUUGCAUUGGUAUAUGGCCACCGCGAGAGGAGAAGGAAGGUUAGGAUAUGGAUUGAUAGGUAUGCAUGAGAAGCAUAUAAACAAACCAUCGUUUUAUAUGUUCAACAAAGCUUGUUCUUUGACUAUAGGUUUAAAUGAAAUAGUAGAUUGAAGUUUGUACAUAUAUUAACUUUUGUUGUGUCAAUGGUUUAAAUUGUCCAUUGUUUAGUUCCACAAGUUUUAAACAUGAUAUGUUAUUUAUAGGUUUGGAAUGAACGAUAGAGGAAAAAUAAACUUGUCAACGCUAAUAAUAAAAGAGUGUAUCGAAAAAGAGAGAAAAAAACAAAAAUUCAUUGUGAUUCUUUUGUUAUUUUGUUUUUCAAUGAUUCAAUUCAAUGUCUUAAUUUCUCUCCUAACAUAAAAGUUAGUUAUGGGCAUUCGGUUAUCCAGUUUCGGUUCGUUUCCAUUCCGUUAUCGUUCUUUCGGUUCUAGAGUUUAGUAUCCAUUCAGUUAUUUUGAUAUUUCGGUUCGUUUCAGUUCUUACAGUUCUAAAAUUUAAUAUACAUUCGGUUAUUUUGCUUUGAGUAUUUUUGGAUAUUUCUGUUAUUUUUAUAUUUUUGAGUAUUUUUACUAUUUAUAUAUACUUUUUAGUAUUUUUAAUUAUUUAGUCUAGAAAUGACUAGUAUUUUUGAAAAUAUAAUUAUAUUUCGGAUACUUUUGGUUAUCCAAAAUAUUUCAGUUUGUAUCCACUCGAUUUCGGUUCUUUUGGUUAUAGAAUUUUAAUAUCCGUUAGGUUAUUUUCAAAUUUUCGGUUUUGCUCCGUUUUUUUACAUCGGUUGCGGUUCGGUACAUUAGGUUCGUUUUAUAUGCCCAAGCCUAAUAAAAAUCAUGUUCAUUUUGGUAUUUAUAGCUUUAGUAGACACAUGUUUAGUAAAACAAAUUCUCAAACAAGAAGAUUUAUGGAAUACCUUGUAAGACUACUUAGACUAGUUACAAUGGUUUGGUGGUGAAAAAAACAUUUCCACUACGAUGGUGUGCUGUAAUCAAAGCUAGGUGAUGUGGCAAAUUUAGUAUUGAUAAAUAUCAAUACCCGUGAAAGUAGAACAGAGAAGAUAAGUGUGACAAGUGUUAUAUUUUGAUUGGUUGCUUUGAUUUUUAUUUUUUUUGUUUCAUCUCAACUAUAUAACUUCAAUUAUUUUAUAAUAUUUGUACAUAAAAAUAUCAAAAUUUAUAUCAAAAUUUCUAAUUUUACAUUCUCUAUAAAUAGAGACUAUUUUCAUUUGAUUUGGAUACAGAAAAAAAAACUAUUUUUAGACCCAAAAAAGGUAUAAUCGCCAAAAAAAAAACUUUUGUUUUACCUUUAAAUAUCUUUUUAUCUAAGUGGAUCCAAACAAUAACCCUUUCAACACCCAAAACUCUUCUAAUUACCCUUUUAACUAUGCAAAUCCCAACAAUUAUCAGUUUCAAAAUCAAUCUCCUAACCAACCCCAACAAUUAUCAGUUUCAAAAUCAAUCUCCUAACCAACCCCAACAUAUAUCAAAUUAUGGUUAUCCACUAAAUUUCUUCAUGCCGUAAGCUGUUCCAAACUAUCGUCCAUUUCAUGGAUCGAUGAUGUCUUAUCCAUCUUAAACACCUCCUUAUUUUCCUACUCCAACAGGUAAUGAAACUGAUUCGAAUCUUGGAGCAACUGAUUUUCCCGAGUUUUCUACCCAAAUGGCUCUUGGUGGUAUUAGGGUAUUCAUGAAGCCAUUCCAGAUGCAAAGGAUUCAACUCCUUCUCGUCGGAGAAGUCCCAAAUGGACCACUGAUCAAAAUUUGGUUCUCCUGAGUGGGUGGAUUAAAUUUGGAAGAGACAGUAUUAUUGGCAAAAACUAAAAAUGUGAGUCAACUGGGGUAAAAUUGCUGAAUAUUGUAAUGAACAUUGCUCAUUUGAUCCUCCCCGUGAUGGAGAAGCAUUCAGAAAUCACUAUAAUUAUGUGAACAAAAGCGUGAACAAAUGGGCUGGCGCUUAUGAUAACGCUAAAUGUAUGCAACAAAGCGGGUGGUUGGAGGAUGAUGUAUUGGUAAAAGCGCAUGAAUUAUAUUCAAGUGCUGGUAAAAGAAGUUUCAAAUAGGAGGAAAUACUUAUUCUGGAAGCAGUGGAUCUAAAAGAGCCCACGAGAGUGAUGCUAGUGACUCAAACUCUGUAGGAUCUAGUGCUCGUCCAAUGGAAAGAGAUGCUGCUAAGAAAAAGCUAAAAAAAAAGGUAAAGGCGCAGCGUUGAAAGUGGUCAACGAAGAGUCGAACGAAUUUUAACAAUUCAAGGCACAAGAGUUGGAUAGGUUGGAGAAAAUAACUAUGAUGCACAGUGAAACAAACCAAUUGAUUAAGGAAAAGACUCAUGCUAAAAAGAUGAAGAUGUUUAUAGAGCUAACUGAAAAAGAGAAUCUCGAUGACAAGAGCAAAAAGCUAUUGCAACAAUUGAGCCACGAUCUAUUUGGAAAUUAAUUAUUGUCAAGUGGUUAUCUGUAUUUUGUCACUUCAUGCUUUAACGUGUGUUUGUCACUUUCUCCUUUAAUAAUUUGUAUUGUCAUGUUAUGCUUUAAUAAUGUGUGUUUGUCACUUUCUCCGUAAUUUGUAUUGUCUUCUAUGCUUUUUUUUUUUGUGCGAAAUAUUGUCUUAUAUGCUUUAUUAAUAUUAUCCAUGAUUUUAAAUAGAGAAUCUUAUCUUAUCCAUGACUUUUGGUUUGAAGCACUCAAUUCGAAUCCAAGGCACCAACAAUUUAAUUCGUUGUUUCCAUUUUUUUUAUAAAUUAGAACUCAUUCUUCCAUUGAUGUACAAACCAUAAAUCUUACCUUACUAAAAAUCUCAAUGGAUCCAUCAGAAUAUCCUUUUGACAUCAAAGCUUACAAGAGGCAGUCUGAAAUUGAAGAGAUGUAUAUCAUCAAUCGGUUUAGGGAGCGUCGAAACAAAAUAGGGGAAGACUAUCCACCUCGUAGCAAGAGAAAAUACUUUAAAAGAGACCAUGCAUCAGCAAAAUUAAAGAAUAUUGACGACUACUUUGCCAAUGAACCUAUAUAUGACGAUGCAAUGUUUCGUCGGUGAUUCCGGAUGAGAAAACAUAUUUUCUUUCGGAUCGUUGAAGACUUAUCAAACAGCGACAACUAUUUCACCCAACGAUAUGACGCAGCCAAGAAAGAAGGUAUAUCUCCAUUACCAAAAUAUACUACGACCAUGCGAAUGUUUGCAUAUGGUGUGGCAGCUGACGCGGUGGAUGAAUACAGUAAAAUUGGAGGUACUACUACUUUAGAGUGCUUGCGAAGAUUCUGUAAAGGAAUCAUAAAGCUGUAUGAGACAGAGUAUCUCAGAGCCCCAACUCAAGAUGACCUCCAAAGAAUUUUACGUGUUAGUGAGAUGCGAGGGUUUCCCGGGAUUAUUGGGAGUAUUAAUUGCAUGCAGUGGGAAUGGAAAACUUGUCCUACAGUGUGGGAAGGUCAAUUUACUCGAGGAGAUAAGGGAACCACCACUGUUAUUUCUGAAGCAGUUGCAUCUCAUGAUCUAUGGAUCUGGCAUGUUUUUUUGGAUGUCCGGGCACACUAAACGAUAUAAAUAUCCGUUCACCGGUGUUCGAUGAUGUUGAACAAGGAAAUACUACAAGAGUGAAUUUUUUUGUGAGCCAACAUCCGUAUAAUAUCGCUUACUAUCUAGCUGAUGGUAUUUAUCCUUCUUAUCCUACUUUCGUCAAAUCGAUUAGGCUACCUCAAAGUGAACCAGACAAGUUAUUUGUACAACGUCAAGAGGCGUGUCAUAAGGACAUCGAACGUGCAUUUGGAGUGCUGCAAGCUCGAUUUAAAAUCAUUCGUAAACCAGCUGGCCUGUGGGACAUAUUCGAGUUGGCUAUCAUCAUGAGAUCGUGUAUCAUAUUGCAUAAUAUGAUUGUUGAGGAUGAACGAGAGACAUAUGCUCAACACUGGACGGAUUAUGAUCAAUUUGAGGCAAGUGGGUCGAGUACACAACAACCAUUCUCGACCCAAGUGCUACUCCUAUUUGCAAAUCAUGUGCGUGAUAGAUCCAAAUUGCGUGAUUCAAAUGUACAUCACGAAUUGCAAGCAUAUCUAGUCAAACACAUAUGGGCACAAUUUAGAAUGUUCUUGUUGUCUGCUUAUUGUAUUUUUGUAUUUUAAAUUUGUGUUCAUUGUAUGUGUUUUAGUAAUAAUAAUUUUUUCUUCUCGUUUUAAUUAUUUGUAAAAGUUUUUAAAAAUAUUAUAUAAAAUAAAAACAAAUAUAAACACAACAAUACUUUAUAAAACUAUUUAAUGUUUAAUUCUUUUAAAUUUAAUUUGAUAUUAACGAUGGUUAAUAAUAUGUAAUCACAAAAAACAUAAACAUAAAUAAAAUGAAAAAUAUGGAAUAAAAAUGGUGGGGUAAGAUGUUGUAAUUUUACUAAACAAAAACUAUUGUAAAGAUAAAAAUUGGGUAGGUGUUGAAUAAUGAUGUGGAAGAAAGAGAAGAUGAUGUGGAGUGUUAAAAGUAAAAAAGUGGGUGUUGUAAAUGAGUAACCAUUGUGGAUAGUCUAAGGAUAAAAAUUGUAUAGGUGUUGAAUAAUGAUGUGGAAGAAAGAGGAGAUGAUGUGGAGUGUUAAAAGUAAAAAAGUGGGUGUUGUAAAUUAGUAACCAUUGUGGAUAGUCUUACAAUGGACACGUUGAAAAAAAUAUUUGAAUAUGGUGCAAUGGUUGUUUUAAUAAAUGUUGUAGAGGAUGUGGCAAAUUUGGUGAGUAGGGAAAAAUAUCGUUUAAUAUUCCAACUUUCAAAUUAUGGCCAUUUUAUACCUCAACUUUAUAUGUGACCAUUUUAAAUAUGAAGAUAUCGUUGACCAACCGUUUAAACCAUAAACAUUAGUUGACCAGGCUAAAAAAACUAACCGUUAUCACUCGUUAACAGAUUAUCUAACGUCCGUUAACAUCUCCAUUAGCUACCCCUAAACGACGUCGUUUUCAUAUUUUAAAAAUAAAUAACGAACGUAGGAUUCAAACUUGUAACCUAGAGAAAAACUAGAGACUUACUUAACACCCUCACCAACAGUAUUUUAUUGGUGAACUUUGAGAAACAUAUAUUUAUUAAAGUUUUCUCCUUCAACUUUAACCUACAAAACAAAACCAUCUCCAUAGCCGCCGCCUCCAAAUCCGUGUUCUCUCUCCAUUGAUUUUUUUAAUCUUAAUCAUAUAUUGUUUUUUGUUGAUUGAAAAAAAUUUGUAUUUGCUAAUUCAAUUCAUCUGGAACCUAUUUCUAUGAACACCAUUGAUGGAUUAGUCAAUUGAUAUGAAAUCAGUUACACAAACAGCACUAGUUCUUCGUCGUCUCACAUGCACCUUCGUUGUCUCACGUACACCUUGUGUAUAUGAUCUGUGAUUGCUCUUAAGCGGAUCUGAUGUAUUUAACGGCAUAAUAUAUAAUUAUGUGUUUCCGAAUAAUAAUUAUUAAACACUUUAUCUUAGUUGGUGUGGACAAGCAUAGGGAGCACUCGAAAGUUACGGGUUCGAAUCUUGAGUAAGUUAUUUCUUUUUAAAAUAUAAAAAUGACGUCGUUUAAGGGUAGCUAAUAGAUGUUAACGGACGUUAGAUAAUCUGUUAACGACUGAUAACAGAUAGUUUAUUUGGCCUGGUUAACGAAUGUUUAUGGUUUAAACGGUUGGUUAACGAUAUCUUCAUGUUUAAAAUGGCCACAUAUAAAAUUGUGGUAUAAAAUGGCCAUAAUUUGAAAGUUGGAGUAUUAAACGACAUUUUUCCUGUUGUAAUUUGUCAACACCGUGAAUUUUACUGGGUGGGGUUAUCUUUGUCUUGUGUUGUGUUUUCAUUGGUCACUAAAAUUUGACUUUUUCGUCCAAUAAUUUUUGAACUCAAUUAAAUUAUAAUAAACUUUUUUUUUUGUCAUCUGAUAAUUUAUUAAAGAAAAAAAUAAUAAAGUACAUAGUUAGAUCCAAAAGCCAAGUAGAACAGAAAGAGAAACAAAAUAAAAGAGAAACAACGAGAGAUACAAAAUGAAAUUUAAACUUUACUCUCCUCAAACACUUGAUUGUGAAACCAUGAAGGCUCUCCAAGUGCUAUGUAAGACUGAAACCUUCUUUCUUGAAUCACACUUCGAGAAAUGGAUCGCGCGAUCAGAUUUGCGUUUGUGGCAAUAUGACGGAAUGUACAAGAUUCAAAUGCACCAGCAAUCUCAUGGAUUUGUGCUAACCAAUUCCUGUAGAAAGGCCAUUUGGACGGCUGCAAAACGGCGUUAACUGCGGCUGGAUAUUCCAACUCUAUUAUCACCUUGGAGACGUGAAUAUCUUGAAAUGCUUUCAACGACCGUAGAAUGCAGCACAGCUCAGCCCCUGUUCGAUCUUGAAUUGGCGUAAACGCAUCUCGUGCAUGGUGUUUAGCUUGCCCUAUAUCUCUUACAAUUCAAGCUCCUCCACACAUCGAUUGUUUAUUUAUCCAAAAAGAAUUCAAAAUGCAUUUAAGAAUACCUUCUUGGGGUUUCCUCCAUUUGUUUCCAUCCAAAUUGGAGGUGAUUGCCGAGAGAAUACUGUUGAAGGCUACGUGUUCACCAUUUUCCAAUGCAUUGUGUCUUCAUACGCUUUUUGAACUAAAACAUGAAAAUUCCAUACCUUUACUUUGAAAACGGUAUGAUUACGAUUCUUCCAAAUUGCCCAUAGAACCCAUGGAAUUGAUAGUCGAGUUUGCUUUGGUAUGUGCUUGUCUUCGAUAACAUUCAAUAGAUGAGAGAAGUUUGCUAGUAAGGUUGUUGAAGAAAAACCUUGAUCCGAAGCUUGCACAAAAUGCUGAGAUUAAUAUGCUUAAAAGGAGAAUAUGGAAUCUAAAAUCUGAGCCACAAAUCAAGCUUUUCUGUUGGCGUGCUCUUUCUGGUGCUUUGGCUGUGGCAGAACGUUUAAGCUCACAGGGAAUACAACAUGACACAAAGUGCCAAAUUUGUGGUAUAGCUACAAAAACAAUAUGUCAUACUCUAUUCUCUUGUGACGUAUAGAAUAAGAAAAUGAUGAAUUUUGGUGUAAAUUAUUUAUGUAUCUAAUAGUAGUUAUUAAAAAAACCAUUGUAGUAUAUGAAAGUAAACUGAAUGUUGAAUGAUGAUGUGUAAGAGAGAGAAGAUGAUGUGUAGGUUGUUGUAAUUUUAAACCAAUGUAAAUAGUCUAAUAAAAAAAUAUUUGGGUUCACCCCACUCUUGUUCACCCUCUCUUAAUAAGCCAAUCAAAAUACAACAAAAUGCCAUGUCGUUUAAUAUUUAACAAUUAAAAUAUUUGGGUUCACCUCUAGGGUGGUUAAAGUUUAGAUUUUAUAAAUAAUUGAAAAUAUAUUUUGGUUGAGUUUAUAAAAUAGUGGUUAGAGUUUAAAUUUUAUAAAUAAACAAAAUUAUAUUUCGGUUUGGAUUGAUAAAAUAGUGGUUAGGUUUAGAUUUUGUAAUUAAACGAAAUUAUAUUUCGGUUUGGGUUGAUAAAAUAGUGAUUAGGUGUUAGAUUUUGUGAUUAAACUAAAUUAUAUUUUGGUUUUGGUUGAUAAAAUAGUGGUUAAAGUUUAGAUUUUGUGAUUAAACGAAAUUAUAUUUUAGUUUGGGCUGAUAAAAUAGUGGCUAGACUUUAGAUUUUGUAAUUUAAUUAAUUUAUUUUUUCAAUAUAUGAUAUGUCAAAUUCUAAUUGGUCAUUAAAAAAUGGUGAACCCAAGAAUUGUUCUUG
rnacentral:lncRNA from 1 species